rnacentral:rRNA from 1 species
GAUGAACGCUGGCGGCGUGCCUAAUACAUGCAAGUCGAGCGGACGGACGAGAAGCUUGCUUCUCUGAUGUUAGCGGCGGACGGGUGAGUAACACGUGGAUAACCUACCUAUAAGACUGGGAUAACUUCGGGAAACCGGAGCUAAUACCGGAUAAUAUUUUGAACCGCAUGGUUCAAAAGUGAAAGACGGUCUUGCUGUCACUUAUAGAUGGAUCCGCGCUGCAUUAGCUAGUUGGUAAGGUAACGGCUUACCAAGGCAACGAUGCAUAGCCGACCUGAGAGGGUGAUCGGCCACACUGGAACUGAGACACGGUCCAGACUCCUACGGGAGGCAGCAGUAGGGAAUCUUCCGCAAUGGGCGAAAGUCUGACGGAGCAACGCCGCGUGAGUGAUGAAGGUCUUCGGAUCGUAAAACUCUGUUAUUAGGGAAGAACAUAUGUGUAAGUAACUGUGCACAUCUUGACGGUACCUAAUCAGAAAGCCACGGCUAACUACGUG